AUGUCUGCGUCUUCAUUUUCCCUCCCGAGGCAGAGGGAUUUCGUCAAGCACAAGGAUCGCUCUUGCCACCGCUGCCUGCUCAAGGGACACUGCAAGGCCAAUUGCCGGAACCCGUUCAUCUGUCUACGCUGUCGGCAGAUCGGGCACCGGGCUCGGGGCUGCACAAAUCCUCCAUCGCCAUCCUCGGUGCCUCGCUCUGCAUCUUCAUUAGAUGGCCAGACCUGUCCUCGCGUCAGACAGGAGCAGGCGCCGCGCCGUCGCAACAACAAUGUUCAACAUCGACGCGAUGAUGACCGUGACCAGGAGGGUCGGGUCAGGGAGGGCCGGCGCGGCCGUGAAGGUGACCGACGCUCCUCCUCUUCGAAGGACCGACUCAUCGGCAACCGUUCGUGCACUUCAGAGCAUCAUGCCAUCCAAGGGCACGAAGACGCUUGCGGACGAGGCAGCCGUGGUGGCGUGCCUGCUUCUCAUGAUGCGAGGAAGGUUGCUUCUGCUCAGGUUUAG
rnacentral:rRNA from 1 species